AUCAUCCUCAGAAUAAAAGGUUUUAUCCUCUGUUUGAACUGGCAAGGCAUCUGCCUCCUCAGACAUGCAGAUUUUUAUUGUCAAGCCUGCAACCAAGAAUCACAUUAGAUUGAGGGAACCAGUAUCUAAUUGGAGUAAGGAGCGAGUAAGGGAUCUUCAAACCUGAAUUGAAAUGCCAAGACCAACCAUUCCGAGGCGCUGGUCUCCAACGCAAAGGUGAAACCUCAAGUGCAGGUUCUGCAUCGUGAUCCAAACUUCCUUCUAUGUUUUGACUUGGCCUUCCAUUCUCUGUACAUCAAGAAUUCAAGUAAAGUUUUCUCCCAAAGGUAACUUGCAAUUGAACCCCCAAAAAUAUUUUCCUACAUGUCUUUUGGAAAACAUGAGAAAGAUUCAGGGAAUAAAUACUAUCACAGCCAUUGUGGUCAUCCAGAAUAAUCUUGCCAGAAUUUAGUUCCCAUUGAAGGAGAUACUAAAAUAAUUUAUUUGCAGUAUGGACUCAGAGCUGAUGCAUCUGAUGGAUAGAAUCAUAUUCCCGCUUCUCUCCUUGUGAAAUCAGAUGGAUGUAACUUGUUUCUAAGUUGAGAACAGUUUUACUAA